GGGCUGAGCAGCAGAGAGGGAGCUGGGCAGCUGAGAGGAGGCAGCUAGAGAGCUGGAGAAGCCAGAGGAGCCUGGGACAAGACAACAUGUGAGGAAUGAAGACCAGAGGCAGAGAUGAUGCUGAACUCUAUUCCCCUACUUUUUUGGAGAAGGAAGAAGCAGGAAGAGGACCGCUCCGUGGUACUUGCUGGUGCAGUUUUCUGCUGAUAGGAGCACCAGCCUGGAGUGUCAGGGUCCCUGCUCCACAACUCAGACACUAGAGGUGCUGGUCCCUCUAGAGUAAAAGGGCUUUACUGGGCCUUGGUGUACCCAGGCUCAAUGGGAACUUCCAGAAGCGUCAGCUUUGUUACUCAUUAUCCAAUUAUUGGCAGAAGUUCAUUUUCUCUUAAUAAGAGGUUCUUUACGCCCCUUAUGGAGAAAUGGAAGGCAAAGCUUUUAUAAAUUGCUUUUUAAUGAGAAUCAAAAGGCCAAUGUCGGCAAAGAUGAAGUUGCAUUUAGCCAUAUUGGGUUGUCUGGGUCUUGUACUUUCAGUUCCACUUUGAGUUUAAUUCCGAUAUGUACUCUAAAAUCGUUCUGUCAAUAAUUGUAUGAAAAGUUUACAUAUCUCUCUACAACCACGGCAACAAACGUAUUUGAAGCCGAUUUAUAUUUAUAUAUUUUGCUCUCUCCUUACAUUUGCCAAAUAAAAAGUCAUUUUUGAAUCCAUUAUUUAUUUCAUGAUAGACACUUGCAACAGGGAACCAUCUGGACAGCUCGUUGUUUGCAGCCUUAAUUAAUUUUAUGGCUCGGACUCCUUGAAAAUGAUUGCAAAAGUGAUUAAUCAUUCUGCACGGUUAAACCUUAUUUAUUUGCAAAAGCCUUUUUUUAACUGAUACAAUCUUGGAGCUGUUAGUUACUGUGGGAAGAGGGAGAGGAAGAGGUCACACGUAUCAUCAGGAGGGAUUAAAUGCAGAGGUGACUGGAGGACAUGUUGGGAUGGGCCUACAUGUUAAAAGCAACCAGGCAACAACUGUUCUACUUUGCUUGUCUAGGUUGUAUUUGCGGCUCUCUCACUGUAAAAGACGUCAGAAAGCAGUGUCGGAUUGGGG